UUAAUGAAUCUUAACUACAAGAAC
rnacentral:tRNA from 1 species